AGUGAACGCUGGCGGUAGGCCUAACACAUGCAAGUCGAACGGCAGCACAGUAAGAGCUUGCUCUUACGGGUGGCGAGUGGCGGACGGGUGAGGAAUACAUCGGAAUCUACUUUUUCGUGGGGGAUAACGUAGGGAAACUUACGCUAAUACCGCAUACGACCUACGGGUGAAAGCAGGGGAUCUUCGGACCUUGCGCGAUUGAAUGAGCCGAUGUCGGAUUAGCUAGUUGGCGGGGUAAAGGCCCACCAAGGCGACGAUCCGUAGCUGGUCUGAGAGGAUGAUCAGCCACACUGGAACUGAGACACGGUCCAGACCCCGACGGGAGGCAGAAGUGGGGAAUAUUGGACAAUGGGCGCAAGCCUGAUCCAGCCAUACCGCGUGGGUGAAGAAGGCCUGCGGGUUGUAAAGCCCUUUUGUUGGGAAAGAAAAGCAGCAGGUUAAUACCCCGCUGUUCUGACGGUACCCAAAGAAUAAGCACCGGCUAACUUCGU
rnacentral:rRNA from 1 species